rnacentral:lncRNA from 10 species
GUGAUCAUUCAUUUAUUCUGAAGGCAUAUAGCUGAUUCCAGAAGGCUAUUACUGCACAUAUAACGUGACUCCACUAUGUUCCCUAGAUCAAAUAUAGAUACUCCAGGGCCCAGGUCAGCUCAGCCUUUCCCCACUCCCCACCUCCAGAUCAAGGGCUCUGCAGGUUCUUCCUGAGCCCAGGCCAGCCACUGGACAUGGAACGCCGGCACCAGUCUGACUGCGAGCCACGUCCCUGUAGGCCAAGGGGACUUAGAAGCCCUCCUGUGAGUCUUCAGUGCUACCCUACAAGCCUCAGGAUGCUCGGGUGCAGAUUCUUUUAGACUGCCCGUGCUCACACUCUCCUCCUCAACUCUCUUUUUUAAGAUCACAUAUGGCCAGGUGCACUGGCUUGAAUUUGCAUUUUAAAGAAAU